rnacentral:rRNA from 1 species
AGUGAACGCUGGCGGCAGGCCUAAUACAUGCAAGUCGAACGGCAGCACAGCAGAGCUUGCUCUGUGGGUGGCGAGUGGCGGACGGGUGAGGAAUACAUGGGAAUCUGCCCAGUCGUGGGGGAUAACGUAGGGAAACUUACGCUAAUACCGCAUGCGCCCUUCGGGGGAAAGCCGGGGACCUUCGGGCCUGGCGCGAUUGGAUGAGCCCAUGUCGGAUUAGCUAGUUGGCGGGGUAAUGGCCCACCAAGGCGACGAUCCGUAGCUGGUCUGAGAGGGAUGAUCAGCCACACUGGAACUGAGACACGGUCCAGACUCCUACGGGAGGCAGCAGUAGGGAAUAUUGGACAAUGGGCGCGAAGCCUGAUCCAGCCAUGCCGCGUGAGUGAAGAAGGCCCUCGGGUUCGUAAAGGCUACUUUUGUCCGGUAAAGAAAAGGACGCCGGGUAAUACCCUAGUGUCCUGACGGUACCGGAAGAAUAAGCACCGGCUAACUUCGUGCCAGCACG